UACGUAGGGUGCGAGCGUUGUCCGGAAUUAUUGGGCGUAAAGAGCUCGUAGGUGGUCUGUCACGUCGGAUGUGAAAACUCGGGGCUCAACCCCGAGCCUGCAUUCGAUACGGGCAGACUAGAGUUCGGUAGGGGAGACUGGAAUUCCUGGUGUAGCGGUGAAAUGCGCAGAUAUCAGGAGGAACACCGGUGGCGAAGGCGGGUCUCUGGGCCGAUACUGACGCUGAGGAGCGAAAGCGUGGGGAGCAAACAGG
rnacentral:rRNA from 1 species